rnacentral:lncRNA from 1 species
UCAAGCCCUACGGCGGAUCCACCUACUGAUGAAUGCCAGCCAUCCUUUCUCGGCUUAUCUCCUCCUUUAGGUUUGAUUAACAGGUCAGGUAAGGCAGGUGCAGCUAGCUUAAGUCUAGCAGUGGUGGGGAGCCCAGUACAGAUAGCAAGAAAAGGCCUGCGGUAGGAAUGGAAUCCUGGGUACGUCCACAUUUGGGCAACUUUCACUAUG